UAGGGAAUCUUCGGCAAUGGGGGGAACCCUGACCGAGCAACGCCGCGUGAGUGAAGAAGGUUUUCGGAUCGUAAAGCUCUGUUGUUAAGGAAGAACGAGUGUGAGAAUGGAAAGUUCAUGCUGUGACGGUACUUAACCAGAAAGGAACGGCUAACUACGUGCCAGCAGCCGCGGUAAUACGUAGGUCCCGAGCGUUGUCCGGAUUUAUUGGGCGUAAAGCGAGCGCAGGCGGUUAGAAAAGUCUGAAGUGAAAGGCAGUGGCUCAACCGGGGAGGGUCAUUGGAAACUGGUUGACUUGAGUGCAGAAGAGGAGAGUGGAAUUCCAUGUGUAGCGGUGAAAUGCGUAGAUAUAUGGAGGAACACCAGUGGCGAAGGCGACUCUCUGGUCUGUAACUGACGCUGAGGCUCGAAAGCGUGGGGAGCGAACAGG
rnacentral:rRNA from 1 species